rnacentral:rRNA from 1 species
GAUGAACGCUGGCGGCGUGCUUAACACAUGCAAGUCGAACGGAAAGGCCCAAGCUUGCUUGGGUACUCGAGUGGCGAACGGGUGAGUAACACGUGGGUGAUCUGCCCCGCACUUCGGGAUAAGCCUGGGAAACUGGGUCUAAUACCGGAUAGGACAGUGGUUUGGAUGCCAUUGUGGAAAGUUUUUUCGGUGUGGGAUGAGCUCGCGGCCUAUCAGCUUGUUGGUGGGGUAAUGGCCUACCAAGGCGUCGACGGGUAGCCGGCCUGAGAGGGUGUACGGCCACAUUGGGACUGGGAUACGGCCCAGACUCCUACGGGAGGCAGCAGGGGGGAAUAUUGCACAAUGGGCGCAAGCCUGAUGCAGCGACGCCGCGUGGGGGAUGACGGCCUUCGGGUUGUAAACUCCUUUCGCUAGGGACGAAGCGUUAUGUGACGGUACCUAGAGAAGAAGCACCGGCUAACUACGUG